ACUCCUACGGGAGGCAGCAGUGGGGAAUAUUGCACAAUGGGGGAAACCCUGAUGCAGCAACGCCGCGUGAGUGAUGAAGGUUUUCGGAUUGUAAAGUUCUGUCUUUGGGGAAGAUAAUGACGUACC
rnacentral:rRNA from 1 species